rnacentral:rRNA from 1 species
AGUGAACGCUGGCGGUAGGCCUAACACAUGCAAGUCGAACGGCAGCACAGUAAGAGCUUGCUCUUACGGGUGGCGAGUGGCGGACGGGUGAGGAAUACAUCGGAAUCUACUUUUUCGUGGGGGAUAACGUAGGGAAACUUACGCUACUACCGCAUACGACCUACGGGUGAAAGCAGGGGAUCUUCGGACCUUGCGCGAUUGAAUGAGCCGAUGUCGGAUUAGCUAGUUGGCGGGGUAAAGGCCCACCAAGGCGACGAUCCGUAGCUGGUCUGAGAGGAUGAUCAGCCACACUGGAACUGAGACACGGUCCAGACUCCUACGGGAGGCAGCAGUGGGGAAUAUUGGACAAUGGGCGAAAGCCUGAUCCAGCAAUACCGCGUGGGUGAAGAAGGCCUUCGGGUUGUAAAGCCCUUUUGUUGGGAAAGAAAAGCAGCAGGUUAAUACCCCGCUGUUCUGACGGUACCCAAAGAAUAAGCACCGGCUAACUUCGUG